AGAUGUAACAUCCUAAAUCAUCAUGGGGAUUUCCGUACAGUUUGUAUGUGCUGGCUCUGCUCAAAUUAAGGAUCUUCAGAGAUUGCAAAAGAAAACACGAGUUCGUCAACUACAAGACUGUGAAGAAGUUACUUACGGAAAGAAUGAGG